AAUAUUUGUCUUGUUCUCAAUGAUCCAAUAAUCACUUAGCAUUUUACUAUUAAAAUGAAAUACAAAAUAUUUGAAGAAUAAAAAUGCUUCUUGUUUUGUUUCUUAGAUAUUUGAGUUUUUGUUUCAAUAAUCAAUAUUCUUUCAAUAGUAAUCAGAUAUGGAAUGCAAUAAAAGUGAAUGGUGUUGGCGUUUUACUUUCUUUUUUAAUUUUAAUGACAAUGUAGCAUGACAUAGAUGCAAUAUGGAAUAAAAAAGGGCUUACAAAUGA